UAGCGUAGGGUGCGAGCGUUAAUCGGAAUUACUGGGCGUAAAGCGUGCGUAGGCGGUUCGUUAUGUCUGCUGAUGAAAGCCCCCGGGCUUAACCUGGGAAUGGCAGUGGAAACUGGCGGGCUUGAGUGUGGCAGAGGGGGGGUGGAAUUCCGCGUGUAGCAGUGAAAUGCGUAGAGAUGCGGAGGAACACCGAUGGCGAAGGCAGCCCCCCUGGGCUGACACUGACGUGAGGCACGAAAAGCGUGGGGGAGCAAACAGG
rnacentral:rRNA from 1 species